rnacentral:rRNA from 1 species
CGUAGGUGGCAAGCGUUGUCCGGAAUUAUUGGGCGUAAAGCGCGCGCAGGCGGUCCUUUAAGUCUGAUGUGAAAGCCCACGGCUCAACCGUGGAGGGUCAUUGGAAACUGGGGGACUUGAGUACAGAAGAGGAAAGCGGAAUUCCACGUGUAGCGGUGAAAUGCGUAGAGAUGUGGAGGAACACCAGUGGCGAAGGCGGCUUUCUGGUCUGUAACUGACGCUGAGGCGCGAAAGCGUGGGGAGCAAACAGGAUU